rnacentral:rRNA from 1 species
CCAAUAGCGUAUAUUAAAGUUGUUGCAGUUAAAAAGCUCGUAGUUGAAUUUCGGGAUUUAUCCGUCGGUCGGGCUUUUGGGUCUGUACUGGCGUGAUGAAUUCCUACCUUCUGAAUAACCAGCAUGCCAUUAAUUUGGUGCGCCGGGGAGGCAGGACUGUUACCUUGAAAAAAUUAGAGUGCUUAAAGCAGGCUAUUGCCUGAAUACAUUAGCAUGGAAUAAUGAAAUAGGACGGCAUGGUUCUAUUUUGUUGGUUUCUAGGAUCACCGUAAUGAUUAAUAGGGAUAGUUGGGGGCAUUAGUAUUCAAUUGUCAGAUGUGAAAUUCUUGGAUUUAUUGAAGACUAACUUCUGCGAAAGCAUUUGCCAAGGAUGUUUUCAUUAAUCAAGAACGAAAGUUAGGGGAUCGAAGACGAUCAGAUACCGUCGUAGUCUUAACCAUAAACUAUGCCGACUAGGGAUCGGACGAUGUUAAUUUUUUAAUGACUCGUUCGGCGCCUUACG